rnacentral:rRNA from 1 species
UACGUAGGGUGCAAGCGUUGUCCGGAAUUAUUGGGCGUAAAGGGCUCGUAGGCGGCCAACUAAGUCAGACGUGAAAUCCCUCAGCUUAACUGGGGAACUGCGUCUGAUACUGGAUGGCUUGGAUUUGGGAGAGGGAUGCGGAAUUCCAGGUGUAGCGGUGAAAUGCGUAGAUAUCUGGAGGAACACCGGUGGCGAAGGCGGCAUCCUGGACCAAUAUUGACGCUGAGGAGCGAAAGCCAGGGGAGCAAACGGG